rnacentral:tRNA from 1 species
GGUGGCACAGUGGUUAAGUGCUUAGCUGCUAACUAAAAGGUUGGUGGUUCAAACCCACUAACCG